rnacentral:lncRNA from 12 species
AUGGCAGCGAUGAUUCUCUUCCCAAGUCAUCCCUCAGGGAAAAUUCAAACUGCAGUAGCAAUAAAAAGUGACCACUGUGAAGUGAUCCUGAGACAGAGGAACACACCAGUUUCAGGAGCUGCCCUGUCAGAGCUGAUGUGGUGUUGCUUCACCUCACAGGGAUUGGACACAGCUGAAGGAGGAGGAUGGAGAGAACAGGAAACACACGUGGGGACAGCUCUUGUUCCAAGCACACACAAGGAGGCUACACACAAAAUCCAAAAUGAGCUGGGACCCCUCUGCCUCUCUCCCCAUGUCCAGGGUGCCUGCUCCGUGGCUUUCUGGGACCUUUGCUUUAUCGCGCUGCCGCGUUCGGUGGGGUUUGUUGCUCCAGAAACCGCUCACGCCACAGACUGUGCCAACACGAACGCGCUCCUGCGGCGCCGGCACGCCGGCGAUCAGCUCCGCGGGCAGCAGAGCAGCUUUCCGUGCGGGAAAUGGAGCGGGGCGGCUCAUCCCUGCUCCGAGAGCCCCGCGCGGCGCAGCCGGUGCCGCUCGGGCGUUCGGCGAGGCGGCGGCGCCGGAGGAGGGCGCGGAGCCCCCGAGGGACCGCGCUCAGCCGCGCUGGGGCAGCGCCGAGCUCUGCGGUGCCGGAGAAACCAGCGGCGACUCCGUGACCGUGCGAGCGCCUCCGUGUGCGCUGCUGCCCGCGCUGCAGCGCUACAGCAGCUCGGACACUGCGGGACGGCUGCAUUGCCCUGGAAUUCCGCACCUGCUCGGCUUCUUAUAGCUUUGUCCUAACUUGAAUGUUACUGUCAGAACUGCUCACAGUGCCAUUGGAACUUACUGGAAAAAAUGCAACCAACCAAACAAAAAAAACCAACCAUAUGGCUUUUAUUGGAAAAAAAAAAAAAGAAACAAAAAACAGUUUGUGGCUGUACAUUUCUGGGUGUAUAUGUUUAGUAUAUUUGUGGGUGUAUAAUUUUCAAACCAACUGAACAGCAUUCCUUAUACCUGGCUGCGCACUCGGGCUGCCUGUGCCCGGCAGCCGAGCGUUCAUCCCGCCGAGCCGGGGAUCGCUGAGGGAUCGCUGUGGGAUCGCUGAGGGAUCGCUGGGGGGGGGGGGGGGGGGGGGGGGGGGGGGGGGGGGGGGGGGGGGGGGGGGGGGGGGGGGGGGGGGGGGGGGGGGG